AUAGAAAAAACAUUCUGCUCCAUGCACAAAAGAGCCUCGAACAAAAUGACAGCAUGUAUCUAGCAAAGUUGGAAUUUCAAAUAAAAAGAUAGAGAAGAAACUAGUCAAAGAACCAUGCACAUUGUUGCCAUCAUCACUUGAUGUUAGUGCAGGUGGUAAAACUAAGGAUGUUCAAGGAGACCUGCCAAAUUUCCCACUUAGUUUUACCUUGUAUAUCACAUAUUUUCCCGCUCCAGAUGUAACUUGGAAGUGGGUAACUUAUCCUUUAAUUUUAUUUCUUUAAUUAUUUUUUCUCUUACUUGAAAAUUCUUGAAUUUCUAAUAAUAAUAAAAAAUUGUGAUGCUGUGAAAUCA